GUGCCAGCCGCCGCGGUAACACGUAGGGGGCGAGCGUUGUCCGGAAUUACUGGGCGUAAAGGGUGCGUAGGCGGCCUUAUAAGUCAUGUGUGAAAAACCCGGGCUCAACCCGGGUAUUGCAAGUGAAACUAUAGGGCUUGAGUGCAGGAGAGGGAAGUGGAAUUCCUAGUGUAGCGGUGAAAUGCGUAGAGAUUAGGAGGAACACCAGUGGCGAAGGCGGCUUCCUGGACUGCAACUGACGCUGAGGCACGAAAGCGUGGGGAGCAAACAGGAUUAGAUACCCUGGUAGUCCACGCCGUAAACGCUGGAUACUAGGUGUAGGUACCGAUGAGGUAUCUGUGCCGUAGUUAACGCAAUAAGUAUCCCGCCUGGGGAGUACGGCCGCAAGGCUGAAACUCAAAGGAAUUGACGG
rnacentral:rRNA from 1 species